rnacentral:rRNA from 1 species
GAUGAACGCUGGCGGCGUGCCUAAUACAUGCAAGUCGAGCGAACGGACGAGAAGCUUGCUUCUCUGAUGUUAGCGGCGGACGGGUGAGUAACACGUGGAUAACCUACCUAUAAGACUGGGAUAACUUCGGGAAACCGGAGCUAAUACCGGAUAAUAUUUUGAACCGCAUGGUUCAAAAGUGAAAGACGGUCUUGCUGUCACUUAUAGAUGGAUCCGCGCUGCAUUAGCUAGUUGGUAAGGUAACGGCUUACCAAGGCAACGAUGCAUAGCCGGCCUGAGAGGGUGAUCGGCCACACUGGAACUGAGACACGGUCCAGACUCCUACGGGAGGCAGCAGUAGGGAAUCUUCCGCAAUGGGCGAAAGCCUGACGGAGCAACGCCGCGUGAGUGAUGAAGGUCUUCGGAUCGUAAAACUCUGUUAUUAGGGAAGAACAUAUGUGUAAGUAACUGUGCACAUCUUGACGGUACCUAAUCAGAAAGCCACGGCUAACUACGUGCCAGCAGCCGCGGUAAUACGUAGGUGGCAAGCGUUAUCCGGAAUUAUUGGGCGUAAAGCGCGCGUAGGCGGUUUUUUAAGUCUGAUGUGAAAGCCCACGGCUCAACCGUGGAGGGUCAUUGGAAACUGGAAAACUUGAGUGCAGAAGAGGAAAGUGGAAUUCCAUGUGUAGCGGUGAAAUGCGCAGAGAUAUGGAGGAACACCAGUGGCGAAGGCGACUUUCUGGUCUGUAACUGACGCUGAUGUGCGAAAGCGUGGGGAUCAAACAGGAUUAGAUACCCUGGUAGUCCACGCCGUAAACGAUGAGUGCUAAGUGUUAGGGGGUUUCCGCCCCUUAGUGCUGCAGCUAACGCAUUAAGCACUCCGCCUGGGGAGUACGACCGCAAGGUUGAAACUCAAAGGAAUUGACGGGGACCCGCACAAGCGGUGGAGCAUGUGGUUUAAUUCGAAGCAACGCGAAGAACCUUACCAAAUCUUGACAUCCUUUGACAACUCUAGAGAUAGAGCCUUCCCCUUCGGGGGACAAAGUGACAGGUGGUGCAUGGUUGUCGUCAGCUCGUGUCGUGAGAUGUUGGGUUAAGUCCCGCAACGAGCGCAACCCUUAAGCUUAGUUGCCAUCAUUAAGUUGGGCACUCUAAGUUGACUGCCGGUGACAAACCGGAGGAAGGUGGGGAUGACGUCAAAUCAUCAUGCCCCUUAUGAUCUGGGCUACACACGUGCUACAAUGGACAAUACAAAGGGCAGCGAAACCGCGAGGUCAAGCAAAUCCCAUAAAGUUGUUCUCAGUUCGGAUUGUAGUCUGCAACUCGACUACAUGAAGCUGGAAUCGCUAGUAAUCGUAGAUCAGCAUGCUACGGUGAAUACGUUCCCGGGUCU